rnacentral:rRNA from 1 species
GGCUUAGAGUUUGAUCAUGGCUCAGGAUGAACGCAGGCGGCGUGCCUAACACAUGCAAGUCGAGCGAAGCGCUUUACUUUGAUUUCUUCGGGAAGAGAAGUUUAGUGACUGAGCGGCGGACGGGUGAGUAACGCGUGGGUAACCUGCCUCAUACAGGGGGAUAACAGCUAGAAAUGGCUGCUAAUACCGCAUAAGACCCCGGUGUCGCAUGACACAGAGGUAAAAACUCCGGUGGUAUGAGAUGGACCCGCGUCUGAUUUGCUAGUUGGUAAGGUAAGGGCUUACCAAGGCGACGAUCAGUAGCCGACCUGAGAGGGUGACCGGCCACAUUGGGACUGAGACACGGCCCAAACUCCUACGGGAGGCAGCAGUGGGGAAUAUUGCACAAUGGGGGAAACCCUGAUGCAGCGACGCCGCGUGAGUGAAGAAGUAUUUCGGUAUGUAAAGCUCUAUCAGCAGGGAAGAAACUGACGGUACCUGACUAAGAAGCACCGGCUAAAUACGUGCCAGCAGCCGCGGUAAUACGUAUGGUGCAAGCGUUAUCCGGAUUUACUGGGUGUAAAGGGAGCGUAGACGGAUAGGCAAGUCUGGAGUGAAAGCCCGGGGCUCAACCCCGGGACUGCUUUGGAAACUGUUGAUCUAGAGUGCUGGAGAGGUAAGUGGAAUUCCUAGUGUAGCGGUGAAAUGCGUAGAUAUUAGAGGAACACCAGUGGCGAAAGCGGCUUACUGGACAGUAACUGACGUUGAGGCUCGAAAGCGUGGGGGAGCAAACAGGAUUAGAUACCCUGGUAGUCCACGCCGUAACGAUGACUACUAGUGUCGGGNGGCAAAGCCAUUCGUGCNCAGCAACGCAUAAGUAGUCCACCUGG